rnacentral:rRNA from 1 species
UACGAAGGGGGCUAGCGUUGUUCGGAUUUACUGGGCGUAAAGCGCACGUAGGCGGAUCGAUCAGUCAGGGGUGAAAUCCCAGGGCUCAACCCUGGAACUGCCUUUGAUACUGUCGAUCUGGAGUAUGGAAGAGGUGAGUGGAAUUCCGAGUGUAGAGGUGAAAUUCGUAGAUAUUCGGAAGAACACCAGUGGCGAAGGCGGCUCACUGGACUGGUAUUGACGCUGAGGUGCGAAAGCGUGGGAGCAAACAGG